UCGAGAAUUUUUCACAAUGGGCGAAAGCCUGAUGGAGCGACGCCGCGUGGGGGAUGAAUGGCUUCGGCCCGUAAACCCCUGUCAUUCGCGAUCAACCCUUACUAUUUAAAAGAUGGUAAGCUGAUAGUAGCGGAAGAGGAAGGGACGGCUAACUCUGUGCCAGCAGCCGCGGUAAUACAGGGGUCCCAAGCGUUGUUCGGAUUCACUGGGCGUAAAGGGUGCGUAGGUGGUGAGGUAAGUCGGAUGUGAAAGCUCGGAGCUCAACUCCGAAAUGGCAUUGGAAACUACCUUGCUUGAGGAUUGGAGGGGGGACUGGAAUACUCGGUGUAGCAGUGAAAUGCGUAGAUAUCAAGUGGAACACCAGUGGCGAAGGCGAGUCCCUGGACAAUUCCUGACACUGAGGCACGAAAGCUAGGGGAGCAAACAG
rnacentral:rRNA from 1 species